CAGAGGUCCCAAGCGUUGUUCGGAUUCACUGGGCGUAAAGGGUGCGUAGGUGGUGAGGUAAGUCGGAUGUGAAAUCUCCGGGCUCAACCCGGAAAUGGCAUUGGAAACUACCUUGCUGGAGGAUUUGAGGGGGGAUUGGAAUACUUGGUGUAGCAGUGAAAUGCGUAGAUAUCAAGUGGAACACCAGUGGCGAAGGCGAAUCCCUGGAAAAUACCUGACACUGAGGCACGAAAGCUAGGGGAGCAAACAGGAUUAGAUACCCUGGUAGUCCUAGCCCUAAACGGUGCUUGCUUGCUGUAAGAGGAAUCGACCCCUCUUGUGGCGGAGCUAACGCGUUAAGCAAGCCGCCUGGGAAGUACGGUCGCAAGAUUA
rnacentral:rRNA from 1 species